AUUGAACGCUGGCGGCAGGCCUAACACAUGCAAGUCGAGCGGAUGAAGGGAGCUUGCUCCUGGAUUCAGCGGCGGACGGGUGAGUAAUGCCUAGGAAUCUGCCUGGUAGUGGGGGAUAACGUCCGGAAACGGGCGCUAAUACCGCAUACGUCCUGAGGGAGAAAGUGGGGGAUCUUCGGACCUCACGCUAUCAGAUGAGCCUAGGUCGGAUUAGCUAGUUGGUGGGGUAAAGGCCUACCAAGGCGACGAUCCGUAACUGGUCUGAGAGGAUGAUCAGUCAAACUGGAACGGAGAAACGGUCCAGACCCCUACGGGGGGCAGCAGUGGGGAAUAUUGGACAAUGGGCGAAAGCCUGAUCCAGCCAUGCCGGGGGUGUGAAGAAGGUUUUCGGAUUGUAAAGCACUUUAAGUUGGGAGGAAGGGAAGUAAGUUAAUACCUUGCUGUUUGGACGUUACCAACAGAAUAAGCACCGGCUAACUUCGU
rnacentral:rRNA from 1 species